CCCUUAGAUGUUCUGGGCCGCACACGCGCUACACUGAAGGAGGCAGCGUGUACUCCUGGAUCGAAAGAUUUGGGUAACCCGCGAAUCUCCUUCGUGCUAGGGAUUGAGGUUUGCAAUUAUCCUUCAUGAACGAGGAAUUCCCAGUAAGUGCAAGUCAUAAGCUUGCGCUGACUACGUCCCUGCCCUUUGUACACACCGCCCGUCGCUACUGCCGAUUGAAUGAUUUAGUGAGGACUUCGGACUGGGACCGAUGCGGCUUUCGGGCUGCGUCGGUAUUCUGGAAAGAUGUCCAAACUGUAUCAUUUAGAGGAAGUAAAANUCGUAACA
rnacentral:rRNA from 1 species